rnacentral:rRNA from 1 species
AUAAUUUGCCUUUUAAUUGAAGGCCAGAACAAAAGAUUAAACAUUUUAAUAAAUUUAUUAAUUAUUCAUUUAAAUUUUUCUUAAAUGUAAAAAGACAUUUAUAUAUUAGAAAGACGACAAGACCCUAUUGAACUUUACUAAAGUUUAACUGGGGUAGUAAAUUAAUUAUUAUUUUAAUUUUUUUAUAGAAAUUAUUAUCUAAUAAUAUUAAUUAAUCAAGUUACCUUAGGGAUAACAGCAUAAUAAAAUUUUAAAGAUCUUAUUUUAAAUAAAGAUUAUGACCUCGAUGUUGAAUUAAUUAUCUAUUAUAAGUAAUAAUAUAAAAAGAAAGUCUGUUCGACUUUUAAAUAAUUACAUGAUUUGAGUUCAAACCGGUGUAAGCCAGGUUGGUUUCUAUCUUCUUAAAACUUUUUCACAGUACGAAAGGACCAGAAAAUUUAAUUUAAUUAAUAAUUUGGCAGAAAAAUGCAUUAGAAUUAGAAUCUAAUUAUAUAAU